rnacentral:sRNA from 1 species
AAAUCGCAUGAGGGAUAGAAGUGGAAAUCCUUUUUGUUUUUUCUUUAAAAACAAAAAGAUUGGAAUGGAUAGCCCGACCCGGA